CACCAUUUCACAAUCAAAGACUUAAUAAUUCAAAAGGUUAAAUUCAAAAUAAAAGUUAUGAACCAAAAAGUUAUUAUUAAUUCUAGAAAGCAGUUUCACAUUGAUAAUGCGUUUGAUUUUCACAGAUAAGCAGCGCGUUAAUUGUUUUUAAUUUUUCGAGCUAUCUUGGCAUUCAUGUCAUAUGGAAAACUGAAGGAGCAGAGGGAGGCAGUUACUUCCAGAAGAGGUCAGAGAGCAUAAUCAGGGGACAGAACUAGCUCUCUCUCAUGGUGUUUUCCUGCUUCAUCUGAUGCCAAGAUAGGCAAUUUUCCUUUUGGUUCCCAUUGGAUGGAGUACCAGAGAGGGAAGAAUGCCAAGGGAAGAUGGAGGCAGGCAUUGACGGAUGUUCCCACAAGCCAGGACACUUGGAGUGAGGAACCGGAAUGGCAGGAGUCACCAGAAGCUGCAAGAGGUUCCUUAUCUUUUCAGUGCUCUGUUCUUACCCUGGGAACCCGGAAGAUGACAACCAUGUUGAGCAGGAGGCACAGGAGGUAAGUCAGGGUUAGUCAGGUGUGUCUCAAGCAGAGUGGAUGCAGGUACGAAAGUGCCUAAUGCUGAGAUCUGAGACUCUUUCAGAAAGCGCUUAUUUGUUUGAAUUAAGUUGUGAUUAAGGUAGAGAUUGCAUAAGAAAUGUGCCCCUUCUCAAAACUCAGAGUCACCUUUGUGUAACACUCGGGACCUUU